CAGCAGCCGCGGUAAUACGUAGGGCGCAAGCGUUGUCCGGAAUUAUUGGGCGUAAAGAGCUCGUAGGCGGUCUGUCGCGUCUGGUGUGAAAUCCCGAGGCUCAACCUCGGGCUUGCAUCGGGUACGGGCAGACUAGAGUGCGGUAGGGGAGACUGGAAUUCCUGGUGUAGCGGUGGAAUGCGCAGAUAUCAGGAGGAACACCGAUGGCGAAGGCAGGUCUCUGGGCCGCAACUGACGCUGAGGAGCGAAAGCAUGGGGAGCGAACAGGAUUAGAUACCCCAGUAGUCCCUGUCUCUUAUAA
rnacentral:rRNA from 1 species